rnacentral:rRNA from 1 species
GAUGAACGCUGGCGGCGUGCCUAAUACAUGCAAGUCGAGCGGACAGACGAGGAGCUUGCUCCUCGGACGUUAGCGGCGGACGGGUGAGUAACACGUGUAUAACCUACCUAUAAUACUGGUAUAACUUCGGGAAACCGGAGCUAAUACCGGAUGAUCUAUUGAACCGCAUUGUUCAAUAGUAAGAUACGGUUGUUCGGGCACUUCUAGAUGGAUCCGCGCCGCAUUGGAGAGUUGGUAAGGUAACGGCUUACCAAGGGAACGAUGCGUAACCGACGUGAGGGGGUGGUCGGCCACAGUGGAACUGAGCCAGGGUCCAGACGCCUACGGGAGGCAGCAGUAGGGAAUCUUCCGCAAUGGGCGAAAGCCUGACGGAGCAACGCCGCGUGAGUGAUGAAGGUCUUCGGAUCGUAAAACUCUGUUAUUAGGGAAGAACAAAUGUGUAAGUAACUAUGCACGUCUUGACGGUACCUAAUCGGAGAGCCACGGCUAACUACGUG